UGCAAUACUCAGCUAUCCUUUGACCCAUUUCCAUUUGUUUUUCUGGUUAUCUACUUUCCACAGGUGUCAGCAACAUUAUUCCUCUGCCUGCUGAAUGCACGAGCAAAGGUGAGCGUACAGUCAGAGCACAAGAGGGAAAGGAUGCUUUGGUCAGGUGACUGGACUCUCCACAGAGCUCUUAAAGAUGAUCCUACCUGAUACUUAUGCUUCAACAUAAAUAAACAGAGUAGGAACGUUAGAUCCUGAAACUCAUACUGGGCCUGAUCCUACAUGGACUAGUAAAGUAGAGAAAAAGAAGAAUGGGAAAAAGUCACAUUAUCUAACUUUAUUCUAUGAGCAAUAUGAUUGAAGCUAAUGGGAGCCCAUAAGGUUCUUCUUCAGUGCAAGCUCAAAUCGUCUUUCUGCUGGCCAGGAGAGGCACAUAUUUUAUGGAUAUCAAACAGGAACACUGAUGAAAGCAUGACAGAGGUAGUGACUUCUGAACUUCAGUGGAGAUGUCUCUUUUUCCUAUCAGGAAAACUAACUCCUGGCUACACACUGAAAGAGCUGCAGCAAGAAAAUGAGACCUAAUAUUAUCUUAGGAGCCAAUAUGUUCCUUUCAGUGGGAAAAUGGAAAGCCAUCAUUUUAAAUGAAAUUCCCUAAAUAGCGUUGCUGAUGAUAUUUUUUCCGUUUUUUAUUAACAAGAGGAAUUUCAGAUCUACAUGCCAAAGGAGAUGGGUUGCUGAUUAGAAUGGUUUGAUCACACACCAGCAGACAGAAGACCUCCUACUGCCUGCUUUGACUGCUCCCUCACUUUCUCAAAUGCAUGUCUUUACUAUUUUGACUUCAUCUUUAUCCUUAUUUAAUAAAAAUGAAGUCAUUUGUCUGGCA
ensembl:lncRNA